rnacentral:tRNA from 1 species
UAUAUAAAAGUGUAUGAUGCACGUUAGUUUUUGAUGCUUAAAGUAAUAGUUUAAUUCUAUUUUAUAUAA